CUGGGCGUAAAGCGCACGCAGGCGGUCUGUCAAGUCGGAUGUGAAAUCCCCGGGCUCAACCUGGGAACUGCAUUCGAAACUGGCAGGCUUGAGUCUUGUAGAGGGGGGUAGAAUUCCAGGUGUAGCGGUGAAAUGCGUAGAGAUCUGGAGGAAUACCGGUGGCGAAGGCGGCCCCCUGGACAAAGACUGACGCUCAGGUGCGAAAGCGUGGGGAGCAAACAGGAUUAGAUACCCUGGUAGUCCACGCCGUAAACGAUGUCUACUUGGAGGUUGUGCCCUUGAGGCGUGGCUUCCGGAGCUAACGCGUUAAGUAGACCGCCUGGGGAGUACGGCCGCAAGGUUAAAACUCAAAUGAAUUGACGGGGGCCCGCACAAGCGGUGGAGCAUGUGGUUUAAUUCGAUGCAACGCGAAGAACCUUACCUGGUCUUGACAUCCACAGAACUUUCCAGAGAUGGAUUGGUGCCUUCGGGAACUGUGAGACAGGUGCUGCAUGGCUGUCGUCAGCUCGUGUUGUGAAAUGUUGGGUUAAGUCCCGCAACGAGCGCAAC
rnacentral:rRNA from 1 species